rnacentral:rRNA from 1 species
AUUGAACGCUGGCGGCAGGCCUAACACAUGCAAGUCGAACGAGUGGCGGACGGGUGAGUAAUGUCUGGGAAACUGCCUGAUGGAGGGGGAUAACUACUGGAAACGGUAGCUAAUACCGCAUACCAUCGGAUGUGCCCAGAUGGGAUUAGCUUGUUGGGGGGGUAACGGCUCACCAAGGCGACGAUCCCUAGCUGGUCUGAGAGGAUGACGGCGGAAAGUGGAACUGAGGCACGGUCCAGACUCCUACGUGAGGCAGCAGUGGGUAAUAUUGCACAAUGGGCGCGAGCCUGAUGCAGCCAUGCCGCGUGUAUGAAGAAGGCCUUCGGGUUUUAAAGUACUUGCAGCGGGGAGGCGUUACCCGCAGAAGCAGCACCGGCUAACGCCGUGCCAGCAGCCGCGGUAAUAC